CAGCAGCCGCGGGAACACGAAGGGGGCUAGCGUUGUUCGGAUUUACUGGGCGUAAAGCGCACGUAGGCGGAUCGAUCAGUCAGGGGUGAAAUCCCAGAGCUCAACUCUGGAACUGCCUUUGAUACUGUCGAUCUGGAGUAUGGAAGAGGUGAGUGGAAUUCCGAGUGUAGAGGUGAAAUUCGUAGAUAUUCGGAGGAACACCAGUGGCGAAGGCGGCUCACUGGUCCAUUACUGACGCUGAGGUGCGAAAGCGUGGGGAGCAAACAGGAUUAGAUACCCCAGUAGUCCCUGUCUCUUAUAC
rnacentral:rRNA from 1 species